AGCAAGAUCUCCAGUUGGAAUUAGGUCUGUAGGCCAGAUGUGGGAAACGCAAAAACAGCAAACAGCCUAAGCCAUGCUCGUUCCUUUCUCUCCUAGAGGCGUGAAAUAAAAUAUUUUGAAAUUGGUCCUUGGAGCACCUCAAAUCGCGUCUCUCCAACUAUUCCAAUUACCGAUCACUUUUCCACAAAACAUUGUGAGGACCAUUUUCAGAAGAUCGAAACUUGCUAGCAUGUUAUCACUGUAAGAAACGACAUCAUUAAUUUUCCUCUGUGGUAAAACUAGACCGAGCCUUGAGUGUACGAAUCCAUAUUUACAGUUGGGAGGCAGCUACUCUCGUCGACACGGGUUGUUUUCCUAGCCUGCUGCCAACAUCGGAGGGACUCUCAUUUUGAACUUGUCUGUGCACAGCAUCAAGUGUGCUCCUGGAAGAGAGGCAACAGCGAGGAAAUCCUAAAAGACCGAGUCCUAGUCUCAGAAGAAAUCGCCUGCAAGGUUGAGAGACAGAAAGAAAAUCCCUGGAGACUCCACGUCUAACCCAGGCUAAAGGCAAAGCUCUACAGCGUUCCAGGGGAUCUGACAUCCUCCUCUGCUCUCCACAUGCACCGGGCAUGUGCAAGAACACUCAUACACAUAAAAUAAAAAUGAUGGGUGUCUAUGCAUAAAGAAGACAGCAACAUGAAGCUGAGAUUGAUUCCCAUUGGUACUGAAUCAGAACUCAUAGAAACAAGUAAAUCUCCUUGGAAAUUAUCACCUAUCAGGUCACCAUCACACCAAGGCACUCGAAGAGACAUUGACGGCGAAAAGGAAUUGAACUCAAUGGGAAAGCACGGCACCAUGAAGGAGCCACCAUGCAAGGGCAGCAAGUGAAUCCAGGGGAGGUCUGUCUCCAAGAAGACGAGCAAGGAAGGCCGAAAUGCUCAUUUGUAAAGGAAGUAUUUGAAAUGUCACCCUCCCCCUUUUUUUCUAAACUGUUUUCUUGGGAAGCCUUCUUAUAGAAACUUAAGAAAAGAUGACUGGGAAUUUAUAUUGUUGAUAUGGGCACACCACGUCAAGGACCCCAAUGCCUCAGACCUCUGCAAAUGAUAAAGCUUCCAUGGGUCAGGUUUGGAGAAAUGGCAAAGCCUUCCACUCUCCCGAGUACCAGUAUUGACAACUGAUUGCUCUUUAGUUAAUGCCAGUGUAGAGUUAGCACCCACCAGAACCAUGGCUUCCUCCUGCUGCAUAUUUACAACUUAAGACUGUUCCCCUAUGAAGACUUCCCACUCAGACAAGCUAACCCCUCAGUGGUGGUUUGAAUGAGAAUGACCCCUGUACAAUCAUACAGUUGAAUGCCCCCCCCCCCCACCCAGUUGGCGAAUCUGUUUGGGAAGGAUUAGGAGGUGUAGACUUGGAGGAGGUGUGUUACUGGAGGUGGUCUUUGAGGUUUAAGAAGCCCCCACCAUUUCCAAGUAGAAUCUCUCUCUGCCUAGUGCUUGUGAAUCAGAUAUAAACUCUCAACUGCUUCUACAGUGCCUACCUGCCUGUUUUCAUGUUUCCUGCCCUGAUAGUCAUGGACUCACCCUCUGAAACUGUAAGCAAAUUCUCAAUAAAAUACCUUCUUCUAUAAGUUGCCUUGGUCAUGGUGUCUCCUCACAGCAAUAGAGCAGUAACUAAGACACUCUUUUUCUUGUGCUAUAUAAAAUAAACACUUGUUGUUUGGGGGUUGUAUAGUAAGUGGCUUCCAUCAAAGUGAGCACACCCCAGGUGAUUCCAGCUUUUCUCUAUGAGACUCUGUCAUUUCUCGUGACAUUUUCUUAUGAUAUCUCAUAUUGCCCCAGCUAGCUUUCUGGGAUGAAGCCAUGCAGCUUAUGGGCUGCUCUUGAGAGCACAGUUGUAGGAGAACCUGAUGAAUUCAUGGAGUGUUAUCUUUUUCAUCCAGCAAGUCUACUGUUCUCAUGAGAAAGGCGUUCUUCCUUGAACACCUCAUCAGGGUCUUAGUCAGGGGAGUCAGCAGUGUGGUAUUAAUUGUAAACAACAGUUAGAGAAAUUUGCAUUUUUGAAAGUCCCAUCCUUCUCACAGAAAAUCCAGAUGGGAUGAUGUGUUCUCUUCAGACCCCUCCCCCCUCGGGUUUUUUUUUUUUCCUGAGUGUUAAUUAAAAAUCUUGUUAACAACAAUGUGUGAAUAAUGUGUUUACCGCUGAAUUUCUUUGGGCAGUGGUUUGCUAUGUAUAUGCAAAUUUUAUUUUUGCACGUUUGCUUUUCCUCCAAUUUCGAAUAAAAUUGUUGAAAAGAUAA
rnacentral:lncRNA from 1 species